rnacentral:rRNA from 1 species
GUGCCAGCAGCCGCGGUAAUACAGAGGUCCCAAGCGUUGUUCGGAUUCACUGGGCGUAAAGGGUGCGUAGGCGGCCGGGUAAGUCUGUUGUGAAAUCUCCAAGCUUAACUUGGAAACUGCAGUGGAUACUAUCCGGCUAGAGGAAUGGAGGGGAGACUGGAAUACUUGGUGUAGCAGUGAAAUGCGUAGAUAUCAAGUGGAACACCAGUGGCGAAGGCGAGUCUCUGGACAUUUCCUGACGCUGAGGCACGAAAGCCAGGGGAGCAAACGGGAUUAGAAACCCCUGUAGUCC